rnacentral:rRNA from 1 species
GAUGAACGCUGGCGGCGUGCCUAAUACAUGCAAGUCGAGCGAACAGACGAGGAGCUUGCUCCUCUGACGUUAGCGGCGGACGGGUGAGUAACACGUGGAUAACCUACCUAUAAGACUGGGAUAACUUCGGGAAACCGGAGCUAAUACCGGAUAAUAUAUUGAACCGCAUGGUUCAAUAGUGAAAGACGGUUUUGCUGUCACUUAUAGAUGGAUCCGCGCCGCAUUAGCUAGUUGGUAAGGUAACGGCUUACCAAGGCAACGAUGCGUAGCCGACCUGAGAGAGUGAUCGGCCACACUGGAACUGAGACACGGUCCAGACUCCUACGGGAGGCAGCAGUAGGGAAUCUUCCGCAAUGGGCGGAAGCUUGACGGAGCAACGCCGCGUGAGUGAUGAAGGUCUUCGGAUCGUAAAACUCUGUUAUUAGAGAAGAACAAAUGUGUAAGUAACUAUGCACGUAUUGACGGUACCUAAUCAGAAAGCCACGGCUAACUACGUG